GCACGCAUAGCCUAAUUGGAUAAGGCGCUUGCCUACGGAGCAAGAGAUUGUGGGUUCAAGUCCCACUGUGUGCU
rfam:Blastocystis hominis, Singapore isolate B (sub-type 7) whole genome shotgun sequence assembly, scaffold_8